UGCGGAAGGAUCAUUAAAGAGAUAGGGUCUUCAUGGCCCGACCUCCAACCCUCUGUUGUUAAAACUACCUUGUUGCUUUGGCGGGACCGUCUCGGUCUCCGAGCGCACUAACCCUCGGGUUGGUGAGCGCCCGCCAGAGUCCAACCAAACUCUUGUAUUAAACCAGUCGUCUGAGUAUAAAAUUUUAAUUAAAUUAAAACUUUCAACAACGGAUCUCUUGGUUCUCGCAUCGAUGAAGAACGCAGCGAAAUGCGAUAAGUAAUGUGAAUUGCAGAAUUCAGUGAAUCAUCGAAUCUUUGAACGCACAUUGCGCCCCUUGGUAUUCCGAGGGGCAUGCCUGUUCGAGCGUCAUUACACCACUCAAGCAUCGCUUGGUAUUGGGAACGGUCCGUCGAAAGGCGGGCCUUCCUCGAAGACCUCGGCGGGGUUCAACCAACUUCGGGCGUAGUAGAGUUAAAUCGAACGUCUUAUAAGCUUGGUCGGAUCUCAUUGCCGUUAAACCUUUAAAUUUUCUAGGUUGACCUCGGAUCAGGUAGGGAUACCCGCUGAACUUAAGCAUAUCAAUAAGC
rnacentral:rRNA from 1 species